rnacentral:rRNA from 2 species
GGCGGCGUGCUAUACAUGCAGUCGAACGAGUUCUCGUUGAUGAUCGGUGCUUGCACCGAGAUUCAACAUGGAACGAGUGGCGGACGGGUGAGUAACACGUGGGUAACCUGCCCUUAAGUGGGGGAUAACAUUUGGAAACAGAUGCUAAUACCGCAUAGAUCCAAGAACCGCAUGGUUCUUGGCUGAAAGAUGGCGUAAGCUAUCGCUUUUGGAUGGACCCGCGGCGUAUUAGCUAGUUGGUGAGGUAAUGGCUCACCAAGGCGAUGAUACGUAGCCGAACUGAGAGGUUGAUCGGCCACAUUGGGACUGAGACACGGCCCAAACUCCUACGGGAGGCAGCAGUAGGGAAUCUUCCACAAUGGACGCAAGUCUGAUGGAGCAACGCCGCGUGAGUGAAGAAGGCUUUCGGGUCGUAAAACUCUGUUGUUGGAGAAGAAUGGUCGGCAGAGUAACUGUUGUCGGCGUGACGGUAUCCAACCAGAAAGCCACGGCUAACUACGUGCCAGCAGCCGCGGUAAUACGUAGGUGGCAAGCGUUAUCCGGAUUUAUUGGGCGUAAAGCGAGCGCAGGCGGUUUUUUAAGUCUGAUGUGAAAGCCCUCGGCUUAACCGAGGAAGCGCAUCGGAAACUGGGAAACUUGAGUGCAGAAGAGGACAGUGGAACUCCAUGUGUAGCGGUGAAAUGCGUAGAUAUAUGGAAGAACACCAGUGGCGAAGGCGGCUGUCUGGUCUGUAACUGACGCUGAGGCUCGAAAGCAUGGGUAGCGAACAGGAUUAGAUACCCUGGUAGUCCAUGCCGUAAACGAUGAAUGCUAGGUGUUGGAGGGUUUCCGCCCUUCAGUGCCGCAGCUAACGCAUUAAGCAUUCCGCCUGGGGAGUACGACCGCAAGGUUGAAACUCAAAGGAAUUGACGGGGGCCCGCACAAGCGGUGGAGCAUGUGGUUUAAUUCGAAGCAACGCGAAGAACCUUACCAGGUCUUGACAUCUUUUGAUCACCUGAGAGAUCAGGUUUCCCCUUCGGGGGCAAAAUGACAGGUGGUGCAUGGUUGUCGUCAGCUCGUGUCGUGAGAUGUUGGGUUAAGUCCCGCAACGAGCGCAACCCUUAUGACUAGUUGCCAGCAUUUAGUUGGGCACUCUAGUAAGACUGCCGGUGACAAACCGGAGGAAGGUGGGGAUGACGUCAAAUCAUCAUGCCCCUUAUGACCUGGGCUACACACGUGCUACAAUGGAUGGUACAACGAGUUGCGAGACCGCGAGGUCAAGCUAAUCUCUUAAAGCCAUUCUCAGUUCGGACUGUAGGCUGCAACUCGCCUACACGAAGUCGGAAUCGCUAGUAAUCGCGGAUCAGCACGCCGCGGUGAAUACGUUCCCGGGCCUUGUACACACCGCCCGUCACACCAUGAGAGUUUGUAACACCCGAAGCCGGUGGCGUAACCCUUUUAGGGAGCGAGCCGUCUAAGGUGGGACAAAUGAUUAGGGUGAAGUCGUAACAAGAGCCCUCGGUCCC